GGCGGUUUAGUGCAGUGGUUUAGCAUCUCCUCUCUCCAUCUAUCUAGCGGCCCAGAUUGGCAUUGGGAGCUGAGGUGGGCUUCCAUAAGAUUUCCCAGAGGAAGACCCUGGUUCGAAUCCGAGCCCCGCCA